rnacentral:rRNA from 3 species
UCGACCGCGACCCCAGGUCAGACGGGAUUACCCGCUGAGUUUAAGCAUAUCAAUAAGCGGUGGAGAAGAA